rnacentral:rRNA from 1 species
UCCGUAGGGGGCGAGCGUUGUCCGAAGUUACUGGGCGUAAAGCGCGCGUAGGCGGACUCUUAAGUGAGGGGUGAAAGGUUCAGGGCUCAACCCGAACACUGCCUUUCAUACUGGGAGUCUUGAGUGCGGGAGAGGCGAGUGGAAUGGUCGGUGUAGCGGUGAAAUGCGUAGAUAUCGAUCGGAACACCCAUGGCGAAGGCAGCUCGCUGGCCUGUAACUGACGCUGAGGUGCGAAAGCGUGGGGAGCAAACAGG